GAUGAACGCUGGCGGCGCGCCUAACACAUGCAAGUCGAACGGGGUCCUUUUAGAAAGCUUGCUUUCUGGCUGGACCUAGUGGCGGACGGGCGAGUAACACGUGAGCAACCUGCCCUGGAGUGGGGGAUAACAUUCGGAAACGGAUGCUAAUACCGCAUAACAUCCCGAAGUGGCAUCGCUUUGGGAUCAAAGGAGUAAUCCGCUCUUGGAUGGGCUCGCGCCCGAUUAGAUAGUUGGUGAGGUAACGGCUCACCAAGUCUGCGAUCGGUAGCCGGACUGAGAGGUUGAUCGGCCACAUUGGGACUGAGACACGGCCCAGACUCCUACGGGAGGCAGCAGUGGGGGAUAUUGCACAAUGGGGGAAACCCUGAUGCAGCGACGCCGCGUGAGUGAAGACGGCCUUCGGGUUGUAAAGCUCUGUUGUGGGGGACGAAACAAAUGACGGUACCCCACCAGAAAGCCACGGCUAACUACGUGCCAGCAGCCGCGGUAAUAC
rnacentral:rRNA from 1 species